GACGAACGCUGGCGGCGUGCCUAAUACAUGCAAGUCGAGCGGACGGAUGGGAGCUUGCUCCCAGACCGUCAGCGGCGGACGGGUGAGUAACACGUGGGCAACCUGCCUGUAAGACUGGGAUAACUCCGGGAAACCGGGGCUAAUACCGGAUAACUCUUUCCCUCACAUGAGGGAAAGCUGAAAGAUGGCAUCUCGCUAUCACUUACAGAUGGGCCCGCGGCGCAUUAGCUAGUUGGUGAGGUAACGGCUCACCAAGGCGACGAUGCGUAGCCGACCUGAGGGGGUGAUCGGCCACACGGGAACUGAGACACGGCCCAGACUCCUACGGGAGGCAGCAGUGGGGAAUCUUCCGCAAUGGACGAAAGUCUGACGGAGCAACGCCGCGUGAGUGAUGAAGGUUUUCGGAUCGUAAAACUCUGUUGUCAGGGAAGAACAAGUACCGGAGUAACUGCCGGUACCUUGACGGUACCUGACCAGAAAGCCACGGCUAACUACGUG
rnacentral:rRNA from 1 species